GCCGAGAGGUGAAACGAAUUUCGCCUGAGGAUGAGCUCGCGUCUGAUUAGCUAGUUGGUGGGGUAAGAGCCUACCAAGGCAUCGAUCAGUAGCUGGUCUGAGAGGAUGAUCAGCCACACUGGGACUGAGACACGGCCCAGACUCCUACGGGAGGCAGCAGUGGGGAAUUUUCCGCAAUGGGCGAAAGCCUGACGGAGCAACGCCGCGUGAGGGAUGAAGGCCUCUGGGCUGUAAACCUCUUUUAUCAAGGAAGAAGAUCUGACGGUACUUGAUGAAUAAGCCACGGCUAAUUCCGUGCCAGCAGCCGCGGUAAUACGGGAGUGGCAAGCGUUAUCCGGAAUUAUUGGGCGUAAAGCGUCCGCAGGCGGCCUGAUAAGUCUGUUGUCAAAGCGUGGAGCUCAACUCCAUUUCGGCNAAUGGAAACUGUGAGGCUUGAGUGUGGUAGGGGCAGAGGGAAUUCCCGGUGUAGCGGUGAAAUGCGUAGAUAUCGGGAAGAACACCAGUGGCGAAGGCGCUCUGCUGGGCCAUAACUGACGCUCAUGGACGAAAGCCAGGGGAGCGAAAGGGAUUAGAUACCCCUGUAGUCCUGGCCGUAAACGAUGAACACUAGGUGUCGGGGGAAUCGACCCCCUCGGUGUCGUAGCCAACGCGUUAAGUGUUCCGCCUGGGGAGUACGCACGCAAGUGUGAAACUCAAAGGAAUUGACGGGGGCCCGCACAAGCGGUGGAGUAUGUGGUUUAAUUCGAUGCAACGCGAAGAACCUUACCAGGGUUUGACAUCCUGCGAAUCCCUUGGAAACUUGGGAGUGCCUUCGGGAGCGCAGAGACAGGUGGUGCAUGGCUGUCGUCAGCUCGUGUCGUGAGAUGUUGGGUUAAGUCCCGCAACGAGCGCAACCCACGUCUUUAGUUGCCAGCAUUCAGUUGGGCACUCUAGAGAGACCGCCGGUGAUAAACCGGAGGAAGGUGUGGAUGACGUCAAGUCAUCAUGCCCCUUACAUCCUGGGCUACACACGUACUACAAUGCUACGGACAAAGGGCAGCAAACUCGCGAGAGCUAGUAAAUCCCAUAAACCGUGGCUCAGUUCAGAUCGUAGGCUGCAACUCGCCUACGUGAAGGAGGAAUCGCUAGUAAUCGCAGGUCAGCAUACUGCGGUGAAUACGUUCCCGGGCCUUGUACACACCGCCCGUCACACCAUGGAAGUUGGCCACGCCCGAAGCCGUUACUCCAACCCUUGUGGAGGAGGACGUCGAAGGUGGGGCUGAUGACUGGGGUGAAGUCGUAACAAGGUAGCCGUACCGGAAGGUGCGGCUGGAUCACCUCCUAACAGGGAGACAAACCUAAUUGUGAUGUCUGAGUAAUUAUAAUCUCAGGCCACGAUUCUGUCACCUUAGGUCGAUCGGUACCUCAAGGAGCGAAUGAGAGAGUCUGAGUAAUCAGAGGAGACUUGAUUUGCUUUUUCAGUUUCUAAACGUUGUCUAGGUCACCCCGACGCUCCUGGGCCAUUAGCUCAGGUGGUUAGAGCGCACCCCUGAUAAGGGUGAGGUCCCUGGUUCAAGUCCAGGAUGGCCCAUUCAUCGCCUGCUCAGCAGGCAGGACCUGCUGGCUGGGGGUUUAGCUCAGUUGGUAGAGCGCCUGCUUUGCAAGCAGGAUGUCAGCGGUUCGAGUCCGCUAACCUCCAUAUCAACGAAAAGCCCCACACGCGCAGGCAAGUGAGGAGAGAGGGAGUGACCAAGACGGGGACCAAGAAGGGAAAGAGAAGAGCUGAGAAUGACUCCAGCCUUCAGGAUUGAUGGAGCCGAUUAAAGGAACCAUGAAUUUUGAAUGCUGGACUCACACCCCAUUAUGGCUGUUGAGAUAGCUACGGCUGUUUUGACAGUACUAGCUGUCGUGAGAGAGCGAUGAAGGGGUGAGAUGUUCAGCAAGGAACCUUGACAACUGCAUAGGUGAGUCUGGAAAGAAAGCAUCUCAUGGAUGCCAGUUUUUCAGCGUUGAUCAGUCUGGGAAACCAGAGUGAUGGCGUUUGAGGAUUGGAGAUUCUAUGACGUUAAGAGCCGAGACUUUCCAGUGUUCUUCCAAGGGAUGGCAAAUCCAGCCAGACUGCGGGAGUUUGAUU
rnacentral:rRNA from 1 species